UACGAAGGGGGCUAGCGUUGCUCGGAAUCACUGGGCGUAAAGCGCACGUAGGCGGAUUGUUAAGUCAGGGGUGAAAUCCUGGAGCUCAACUCCAGAACUGCCUUUGAUACUGGCGAUCGUCGAGUCCGGGAGAGGUGAGUGGAACUGCGAGUGUAGAGGUGAAAUUCGUAGAUAUUCGCAAGAACACCAGUGGCGAAGGCGGCUCACUGGCCCGGUACUGACGCUGAGGUGCGAAAGCGUGGGAGCAAACAGGG
rnacentral:rRNA from 1 species